CGGGAAACCGGAGCUAAUACCGGAUAAUAUAUUGAACCGCAUGGUUCAAUGGUGAAAGACGGUUUUGCUGUCACUUAUAGAUGGAUCCGCGCCGCAUUAGCUAGUUGGUAAGGUAACGGCUUACCAAGGCAACGAUGCGUAGCCGACCUGAGAGGGUGAUCGGCCACACUGGAACUGAGACACGGUCCAGACUCCUACGGGAGGCAGCAGC
rnacentral:rRNA from 1 species